rnacentral:rRNA from 1 species
AACGAACGCUGGCGGCAUGCCUAACACAUGCAAGUCGAACGAAGCCUUCGGGCUUAGUGGCGCACGGGUGCGUAACACGUGGGAAUCUGCCCUUUGGUUCGGAAUAACAGUUAGAAAUGACUGCUAAUACCGGAUAAUGACGUAAGUCCAAAGAUUUAUCGCCGAAGGAUGAGCCCGCGUAGGAUUAGGUAGUUGGUGGGGUAAUGGCCCACCAAGCCGACGAUCCUUAGCUGGUCUGAGAGGAUGAUCAGCCACACUGGGACUGAGACACGGCCCAGACUCCUACGGGAGGCAGCAGUGGGGAAUAUUGGACAAUGGGCGAAAGCCUGAUCCAGCAAUGCCGCGUGAGUGAUGAAGGCCUUAGGGUUGUAAAGCUCUUUUACCAGGGAUGAUAAUGACAGUACCUGGAGAAUAAGCUCCGGCUAACUCCGUGCCAGCAG